ACUCGUGCUGAUGCGUACCGGCCAAAACAAAACAUCAAAAUGUCAGUAAUUGUUAGUGGUGUUCAGCCCUAUAUGUACGAACCGGAGUCAGAGACUGAUGGAGAGACACAAGAAGUGACAACCUUAAGAAUGGAACAGGACGUUUCCGAAUGACAAUUGAGUGUCUCUCUCAUCUGGCUGCCAACCAGCUAGGGAUGGGGAAGUCAAUAUAUAUCCUCAAUCACUACACAGCAUUUGUGAUUCUCCUUGGAACAAAAUCGCAGCUUGCACGGCAGAACAUGCCAAAGGUCAACUCUGACGAUUAUCAGGGAGUAGUUUUAUUUGUGAAUGCUAGCCACUAGAGUCCACUAGAAGUUGCUGUACAUAAAUUCUGUCAACCACACUGUGUACAUUAUUAAUUCUUCAAGAAGUUCCAAGGAGGAAGCUGAGUCCAUUCGUGCUGCCAACAGAUUCAGGUACCUAAAAAAGGAAAACAGUCCAUAAAACAACGAAGUGGGUGGACAUAGAGUGGAGAGGAGGAGUUAUGCCGCAUGCAGUCCAGCAGGAUUCCAACAGCUGUGAUGUCAUUGUCAUCUUGCUAUGUGAAUUGCUGUACAUUGUAUUGUAGUUGGGAAUGCUGCCCUACGUUGAAGUCUGACACAGUUCACAUGAUGGUUUUAAAUACUGUUUGUUUAGAUGGCAAGAGAAAUAAUCAGGCCGUUUCCAGCUGUUCCAGAUUAACAUUUAGGAACAUCUACCAAGGAAAUGGCCCAUGAACGGAAAAUGAUGGCUCUUCAGAUAGUGGAAGCAUCAGGUUUGUAAAGCAAGUCUUUGUCUGUUCUGUCGAGGAAUACCAAAUAAAAUGCAGCUUUGCAGAUCAGACUUAAGUAAUAAUUUAAAUACACAAUGCGGAAGUCAUGUGUAGAGUAAGACAGUAGUAAAUAUUUUAUAAAUAUAAGUAUUUUGUUAAAUAAUACUUUAAUGAAGUUAUAUGUUUGGUUAUAGGUAAUACACUAUUUUGAAUCCUGUUUUAAAGGGUGCAUUUAAUAGUCCAUGAAUA